UACGGAGGGUGCGAGCGUUAUCCGGAAUCACUGGGUUUAAAGGGUGCGUAGGCGGUCCGAUAAGUCAGUUGUGAAAUUCCCCGGCUUAACCGGUGGGACUGCGAUUGAUACUGUCGGACUUGAAUCAGGUUGAGGUAGGCGGAAUGUGACAUGUAGCGGUGAAAUGCUUAGAUAUGUCAUAGAACACCGAUUGCGAAGGCAGCUUGCUGGGCUUAGAUUGACGCUGAGGCACGAAAGCGUGGGGAGCAAACAGG
rnacentral:rRNA from 1 species